UUCUCUGUGCCAAGCAGCGGCGUCCGCGAGCGGCCGCGGCCGGCUCUAGAGCCCCCACGGGGCUUGAGAUGAUCGCUGUUUCCCGUCAUGCCCAGCGGCAGCCCAAGGAGUAGCGCGACCCGCACAGACUCGGUGGCGUCAGAGGAGUUUUAUUCUCAAAUACAAAAUACAGGAAGGACUGGGCCCCACCUCGGGCAGAAGGGUCUGACCAUUUGCUGGAUCGCAAAGCAGCUCCGAGUCAGUUUAAACUCAGGCUAUUUAUCCAAAAAGUCUCCUCUUGGUCUGUUGGUCUCUGGAGAAUCCCAUCUGCAGCAGUCUAUGCAGCCUCUCCAGGGCGAGGGACCUCUCUGGGGUUUGAGGUCCCGGUGCACCACCCCAACAUCGUGCAUGAAGCUGACAGCUGACACCAGGCUGCGCAUGAUCUGACUGGCCUCCGACUC